CCUACGGGAGGCAGCAGUAGGGAAUAUUGCUCAAUGGGGGAAACCCUGAAGCAGCAACGCCGCGUGGAGGAUGAAGGUUUUCGGAUUGUAAACUCCUUUUGUUAGAGAAGAGAAUGACGGUAGCUAACGAAUAAGCACCGGCUAACUCCGUGCCAGCAGCCGCGGUAAUACGGAGGGUGCAAGCGUUACUCGGAAUCACGGGGCGUCAAGAGCGCGUAGGCGGGAUAGCACGUCAGAUGUGAAAUCCUAGGGCUUAACCAUAGAACGGCAUUUGAAACUGUUAUUCUAGAGUAUGGGAGAGGUAGGUGGAAUUCUUGGUGUAGUGGUCCAAUCCGU
rnacentral:rRNA from 1 species